UUGUGACCACCUCUUUAAUGUCUUGAUUACUCUGAUUUGUAGCCUGCUCAUAAUUGACAUCUUAAUGCUUGUUGUUUCUGAUUUUUGCAUUCAAGAUUAUCUACCAAUGCCGCUUAAUGAUUCUGAUUGUAACUGAAAACUAUUGAUUUUGACAUUUUUCAGAAUUGUGUUCACUGCUGCCCCUUGGUUGGUUUAGAGAGAUUAAUUAGCUUCAAAUCUUCCUUUACGGGUGUAUGAUCAACUCCAAUGUUAGGUGCAGGACCCAUCUUGUUCAAUCUUUCUCCGGAAGGGAAGUUGAAUGA